AAACUUGAGAGUUUGAUCAUGGCUCAGAACGUACGCUGGCGGCACGCCUAACACAUGCAAGUCGAACGAAGUAGCAAUACUUAGUGGCAGACGGGUGAGUAACAUGUAGGUAUCUGCCCUUUGGCCUGGAAUAACACGAGGAAACUUGUGCUAAUACCGGAUAAGUCUUUACGGAGAAAGCUUUAUGCACCAUUGGAUGAGCCUGCACUUGAUUAGUUUGUUGGUAGGGUAAUGGCCUACCAAGACUGUGAUCAAUAGCUGAUUUGAGAGGAUGAUCAGCCACAUUGGGACUGAGACACGGCCCAAACUCCUACGGGAGGCAGCAGUGGGGAAUCUUGCACAAUGGAGGAAACUCUGAUGCAGCGAUGCCGCGUGAGUGAAGAAGGCCUUUGGGUUGUAAAGCUCUUUCGUCGGGGAAGAAAAUGACUGUACCCGAAUAAGAAGGUCCGGCUAACUUCGUGCCAGCAGCCGCGGUAAUACGAAGGGACCUAGCGUAGUUCGGAAUUACUGGGCUUAAAGAGUUCGUAGGUGGUUGAAAAAGUUGGUGGUGAAAUCCCAGAGCUUAACUCUGGAACUGCCAUCAAAACUUUUCAGCUAGAGUAUGAUAGAGGAAAGCAGAAUUUCUAGUGUAGAGGUGAAAUUCGUAGAUAUUAGAAAGAAUACCAAUUGCGAAGGCAGCUUUCUGGAUCAUUACUGACACUGAGGAACGAAAGCAUGGGUAGCGAAGAGGAUUAGAUACCCUCGUAGUCCAUGCCGUAAACGAUGUGUGUUAGACGUUGGAAAUUUAUUUUCAGUGUCGCAGCGAAAGCGAUAAACACACCGCCUGGGGAGUACGACCGCAAGGUUAAAACUCAAAUGAAUUGACGGGGACCCGCACAAGUAGUGGAGCAUGUGGUUUAAUUCGAAGAUACGCGCAGAACCUUACCAACACUUGACAUGUUCGUCACGACUCUAAGAGAUUAGAGUUUUCGGUUCGGCCGGACGAAACACAGGUGCUGCAUGGCUGUCGUCAGCUCGUGUCGUGAGAUGUUGGGUUAAGUCCCGCAACGAGCGCAACCCUCACUUUUAGUUGCCAUCAUUAAGUUGGGCACUCUGAAAGAACUGCCAGUGAUAAGCUGGAGGAAGGUGGGGAUGACGUCAAGUCCUCAUGGCCCUUACGUGUUGGGCUACACACGUGCUACAAUGGUAUCUACAACAGGAAGCAAGACUGCGAGGUCAAGCAAAUCCUUAAAAGAUACCUCAGUUCGGAUUGCACUCUGCAACUCGAGUGCAUGAAGCUGGAAUUACUAGUAAUCGUGGAUCAGCGUGCCACGGUGAAUGCGUUCCCGGGUCUUGUACACACCGCCCGUCACACCAUGGGAGUUGGUUCUACCUUAAGGCAAGGUUUAAAACCCUUGACCACGGUAUAGUCAGCGACUGGGGUGAAGUCGUAACAAGGUAGCCGUAGGGGAACCUGCGGCUGGAUUACCUCCUUU
rnacentral:rRNA from 1 species